GCUUUUUGCUCGCGUUAUGUUUCUCAUCCGAAUAUAAGACGAACAAAAGGUUU
rnacentral:pre_miRNA from 1 species